GAUGAAGAACGCAGCGAAAUGCGAUACGUAAUGUGAAUUGCAGAAUUCAGUGAAUCAUCGAGUCUUUGAACGCACAUUGCGCCCCCUGGUAUUCCGGGGGGCAUGCCUGUCCGAGCGUCAUUGCUGCCCUCAAGCACGGCUUGUGUGUUGGGCUUCGUCCCCCCGUGGACGUGCCCGAAAGGCAGUGGCGGCGUCCCGAAUGGUGCCCGAGCGUAUGGGAACUCUCUUCCGCUCGAACCGGCCCAUUCGGCGCUGGUCGAACCCCAAUUUUUUUUUACCGGUUGACCUCGGAUCAGGUAGGGAUACCCGCUGAACUUAAGCAUAUCAAUAAGCGGAGGA
rnacentral:misc_RNA from 1 species